ACUCUUGUCUGUCUGGAGGGAAUGGGAGGGGAUGGCCACAGGUGAGUAAGAGCAUGGAUCUUGGAGUUGGAAAAAUUGGCUCCAAUCUUUUUUGUUUUUUAAGAAGUCUUUUUUCUUUUUUUAAAAGAUUUUAUUUAUUUAUUUGACAGAGAGAGACACAGCGAGGGAGGGAACACAAGCGGGGGAGUGGGAGAGGGAGAAGCAGGCUUCCCGCCGAGCAGGGAGCCCGAUGUGGGGCUCGAUCCCAGGACCCUGGGAUCAUGACCUGAGCCGAAGGCAGACGCUUAACGACUGAGCCACCCAGGCGCCCCAUAACUGGCUCCAGUCUUGAUGCCUUUUCUUCCUAUGUGCGUGACCAAGAGUCAGAUCUGCUGAGUCAGAUGCGAUAUCCUUCAACUGCACAAGCUCCACCACAGGGAUUUGGGAAGUUUAUUAUCGGACACAAAUCUGUCGGGACUCCUCUGCUGCUGACUACCACAAGGAGCUAAGCUCCUGUCUUGCGUCAGGCCCAAUUCCACGACCAGAAGCACAGCGGGGAGGAAGGUGAGAGAUGCUGCAACAAUGAUUAGAACUGUGCUGAAGGGUGAGGAAGCGAUAUGAAAGGAAGGCCGUGAGGCCUAUGAGAAGGCAGGCAAUGGGUGCAGACAGCCCACGCCCCACCCAGGCUUGCCUCCAGGAGCUGGAACCUGGCUCUGCUCAGCUACUGCCUAGCACAUUCCCCCCAUUGCUCCAAUGGAGGAGCCAAUUACACCUUUGA